CUCUCUUUAUUUAGGGACCAUUUUGACGUGGUAGUUUUUUACAGUAAUAUUCAGGAUUUUCGAAACUAAGUCGAUUAAGAGUGGUCUCCAUUCGGGUAGGUAUCUCUCACUUCCGGUCAGUUAAAAGUAAUAGGCGAAAAAUUAAACAAUGUGAAAUUCUAUUGCUGUAUGCCUGAAUGUAAAAAUGUUGGUGGUAAAAUUGAAAGAUAUGGCAAGCCUGUAAUGCUGCCAAGUAAUCGUGCUACGAGAAUCGCAUGGUUUAGAGCUAUGAACAUGCGAAAUUGGAAGCCAACCGGGAAUUGGUCCAAACUCCAUGAACAGGAACAAGGUGCCAAGAAAAUACCUUGCGCAGAAGAUCCUUUCUACCAAGAAAGAAAAGACAUCUAUGCCAAGUCAAAUGCUGAUGACACCAGUGUCGGUGAUGGCAGCUCUGUAAGUGUCGGUGUACAGGCAUCUCCUGACAAGCAUGACAUCUCCACAAAUACCAAAAAAACAAAAAUAACCAUCGAAGACAUUAAUGCCGCAGACAAUAAAAUCAUGUUUUACACUGGCUUGCCAACUUGCGUUAUUUCUAAUUCUUUGUUUUUGACAUUGAUUGAAUUUGGUUGCGACAAGUUAUUACUGAAAAAGUAUACACUGUUAAGAUUGAG